GGGGAUGCCUGGUUUCGACAGGGAGCUGAGGUCGUUGGCUGCGAGCCGAGCCGCCCAGUCUCGUUAAAGGGGCAACGCCAUUAACUGGCAAAACCAACUUCGCGCCUCGCAUGGCGCUGGCUGCCUAAUCUAGUGUAGCCCGUUCACCCCGUCAAGCGCCCGACGGGGCGGGGUGAGCGUCAUUUAGUCGGGCUGCUGCGACCGUAUCGCCUGCUAAGGUCGCUUAAGAUAAGCGGGCUGGCCUCCUUCCGCGCCUCGUCUGUUGAGCGCUGGAGGCGACAUCUAAUCAGCAGUCUACGCUCGUAGAUGCUUGCGAUCAACCUUUCUGGACGGGGGUUCGAUUCCCCCCAUCUCCACCA
rnacentral:tmRNA from 1 species